rnacentral:rRNA from 1 species
AUGGCAGAUCCCGUCGUCGACAUCGACAAGGCGCUUAUCGCUUUAAAGAAAGGCACCCAGCUGCUUAAGUAUGGUCGCAAAGGGAAGCCAAAGUUUACUCCCUUCAGACUGUCAACUGAUGAAUCGACUCUUAUUUGGGUCUCAAGCAACCAAGAGAAAAGUUUAAAACUAGCUUCUGUGUCCAGAGUUCUCUCAGGACAAAGAACUCUGGUUUUCCAACGUUUUCUGCUCCCUGAGAAGGACCAUUUAUCCUUCUCUCUCAUAUAUAAAGAUGGCAAGCGAUCACUCGAUCUGAUCUGCAAGGAUAAGGUUGAAACACAGGUGUGGUUUACAUGCCUCAGUGCAUUGGUAUCUCCAGGCAAGCACAGAUCCCAACCCCAACACACUGACGAAAUGCGCAGUAGUGCCCUUUCUUUUGAUUGUGGCAGAGAAAGUAGCCUAAGCAGUAGCUCUACAUUUACCACUGAUUCCCUCGAGAACAAGUUGAGCUCAGCAAAUUCCAAGGACCGUUCUUCUGGGGAAUAUGCAUAUUCAGAAAGGACAGAUGUGUCAGAUAUGCAAGUGAAAAGUGUAUCUUCAUCAGACAUUCGAGUCAGUGUCUCCAGUGCUCUCAGCACAUCCAGCCAUGGUUCUGGUGGCGAGGAUUCUGAAUCGUUCGGGGAUGUUUAUGUCUGGGGAGAAGUCAUGUGUGACACCACUUCCAUAUCAGGGUCUGAUGGAAAUGCACUCUCCCCUGGUGCAACCACUGAUAUCCUUGUACCGAAGCCCCUAGAGUCAAAUGUAAUGCUUGAUGUCAGUUAUGUGGCUUGUGGUGUGAAGCAUGCUGCACUUAUCACAAGGCAGACAGAGGUAUUUACAUGGGGAGAAGAAUGCAGUGGGCGGCUUGGUCACGGGGCUGGUACAAGCAUUUUUCAACCACGUCUACUUGAGUCAUUGUCAACCUGCAAUGUUGAAAUAAUGGCCUGUGGUGAAUUCCAUACUUGCGCUGUUACAGCAACAGGUGACCUUUACACCUGGGGAGAUGGUACCCACAAUGCCGGACUCCUUGGUCAUGGUAGCACUGUGAGUCACUGGAUACCCAAAAGGGUUUCAGGUCCUCUGGAAGGCCUUCAGGUGUCGACUGUCUCUUGCGGAACAUGGCAUACUGCUUUGAUAACCACUUCUGGACUGUUGUACACAUUUGGCGAUGGCACAUUUGGAGCCCUAGGUCAUGGGAAUCGAGAAACUAUCUCAUAUCCAAAGGAAGUGGAGUCUUUGAAGGGUUUGCGGACGAUUUCUGUUUCAUGUGGGGUGUGGCAUAGUGCUGCUGUUGUUGAGGUUAUCAUGACACAGUCAAAUGCUUCAUCUGGAAAGCUAUUCACAUGGGGAGAUGGAGACAAAUAUCGGCUUGGGCAUGGUGACAGGGCUUCAAAACUCAAACCAACUUGUGUGUCUUCACUGAUAGACUACAACUUCCAUAAGUCGGCAUGUGGCCAUACUCUUACUAUUGGGUUGACAACUUCAGGGCACAUGUUUACCGUCGGGAGCUCUGUGUAUGGACAGCUUGGCAAUCCCAACAAUGAUGGAAGGUAUGCACGCCUAGUUGAAGAUAAGGUCGGGGGUGGUGGUGUUGUGGAGGUUGCUUGUGGAUCUUAUCAUGUUGCAGUUUUGACAAAUGCUGGUGAAGUUUACACAUGGGGUAAGGGUGCAAAUGGAAGACUGGGCCACGGCGAUAUUGCAGAUCGCAAGGUACCUACACUUGUGGAGGCUUUAAGGGAUAGGUCCGUAAAGCGCAUUGCUUGUGGAUCAGGCUUCACAGCUGCAAUCUGUCAGCAUAAAUGGGUGUCAGGGAUGGAGCAGUCUCAGUGCUCAGCAUGCAGACAGCCAUUCGGUUUCACUCGAAAGCGACACAACUGUUACCAUUGUGGCCUGGUACACUGUCAUUCAUGCAGUUCAAAGAAGGCCCUAAGAGCGGCGUUGUCUCCUAAUCCUGGAAAGCCAUACCGUGUGUGCGAUUCAUGUCAUAUGAAGCUAAGUAAAGUCAUGGAUUCUGGUGUCAGCUAUAGCAGGAACAAUAUACCUCGCGUACCAGGUGAUAUCAAGGCUGAGAGAAUGGACACAAAGGCAAGCAGAGUUGCAUCAUCUACCAGUUCGGAUAUGAUCAAGAGCUUGGACGUGAAGGCAGCAAAGCAGGCAAAAAGGUCUGAUCAUUCGCCGCAGUUCCCUGCAAUUUUGCAGAUGAAUGACGUCCCGUUCAUCGGAUCAGGUGACCUGCACAAUGCAGGUUUUACAGUAACAAACGGAUACCCGAAUGACCCCAGAUAUACGUCACAAUUUUUAAGAAUGCCGUACUUGAGUUCUCCGAGCUCGCUGUCUUCAGAAAGCCUUGAGAGUUUCAGAGAUGCGAACGAACUUUUGAAGCAAGAGGUUCAAAAACUAAAAGAAGAGGUUAAUAGCUUGAGACAGCAACGUGAACUGCAAGACGCCGAGUUGAAGAAGUCGGAGGCAAAAGCCAGUGAGGCCGCGGCCCUUGCUGCUGAAGAGGCGUCCAAAUCGAAGGCCGCAAAAGAGGUUAUAAAAUCACUAACGGCGCAGGUAAAAGAAAUGGCUGAGAGGCUUCCUGCAGGAGACUCUGACGUGAAGCCGCCACGGGUCCCGUAUCUACCUGCUGGUGGUGUAGUUUCUCCUGAAAUGGGGAGAGAAGGCCAGAAGAGAUAUGAGCCAGUAUCCAUUCAUUAUUCUCAGACACCGACUUCUGUCACGUCUGCUUGGUCUAACGGGCUCCCUCCCCAAGCCCAUCAAAUAGGUAAACCCAGCGACAACACGGUGGCUCCACAUGAGAACAUGUUUGAAAACUUCAACAAAAGCAGAGAUUUUCCAGCCACGCACCAGAGGACGAACAGCGCGAUGUCUGGGUAUCGUCCGAGAUCAGAGGAUUUUGACCGGCGGGAAACGGAAAGGUUCCAGAUAAACCUGCAAGACUGGAACACGAGAGGCUCCGGUUCACCCAAUAAUCAGGUCGAGUCCGAGUGGAUAGAACAGUUUGAACCUGGGGUGUACCUGACACUGGUUACUCUUCAUGAUGGAACCAAAGAGCUGAAAAGGGUGCGGUUCAGCCGGAGAAGAUUCGCGGAGCAUCAAGCGGAGUCGUGGUGGAGCGACAACCAUGAAAAGGUGUACGACAAGUACAACUUGCGGAGAACCGACCGGAUCUCAUCAGUGUUGACAUCAUAG